UCCAAAAUGUUUACUAUUUCUUACAGAUAAAGGGUCCGGUUAGCCCUGACCAUUAUCCGUUUCCAAUUCACCAACUCAAAGACGCCCGCUCCAUCAUAACUCCGAGACCAAGGGAUCGCAAAGAGUGACGUUCCGGGCUGGUGAUAGUUCCUUUGGACAAUCUUGCAAACAAAUGUGGCCACACAACUAUUAAAAGAAAAAAAAGGGUUACAUUUUCUCUGGUCAAAAUGUAAUUGGAGACUGCGGUACUGAGGAAAGCAGUUAGAGAUAUUCGGCCACUUUAAAAGUCUUAGUAUCUGGAUAAGGCUAUAACUGGAGUUCCGGAUAAGUGAGGCCAGCUCCUGUGUGUUCUUGGCCUAUGGUUCACUAGUAACCAAUACACCUUAUACCGUGAAUGAAUAUGCGAUAGUGGAUUUCCUUUGGAAGGGUUUUUUCAAUUCAGUUUCAAAUUGGGUAUGCAGAAGGAUGGAAAUGUUUUUGAAAAUGUAUUUAAGUUGUUUCUAAAGAAAAGGGAGUGGAAACAUUAUAAUGGUGUCAAAUGCCCUGAACCCUAAGAAUUUCCCGUGAAGACUGAUCAACUUCACUAGAAAUUGUUGGAACAGGUGGGAUUUAAUUAUAAAAUGAUUGAGAAACACCAGUCUCUAUUCAAAGUGUACAAUCACUUUGAAAUUCUAUUAUUUCCUUGGGAAAAUGAUGAAGAGUUGUAGUCUUAAAUAGUCUAGUUAUUCAAAUAGGUUUAUUUUUUAUUUAACAUGGGUUCAUAGGAGAAAUUAUCAGUUCCCUGGGGUUAUGGUCUUUGGGUAAAUACACAAAUGUGCUUUGUUCAUUCUGCAUAUGAAAGGGAAAUAUAUGUUAACAAGGGAUGAGUUACUCCAAAUGGUUUAUUGGAGUGGGGGUCUCUGCGAGGGUUAUUUUGAUAACUACAUAAUCUGUAACUCGUCUGAGAGACCGCUAGUAGAUUAAGGGAGUUAUCAUGGAAGGUGACGUCAGAAUGCUUUAAUGCUUGGGAGAGAUUAUCACCACAACAAGUGUGUGUGAAACUCAAACCCACCCUACUGGCUGAAUAGUGAGGGACAACUGUGUCUGAUGACCUGUGAACUGUAUCUAAAAUAGACAUGCGGGAAUGAUAUGUGCUGGGAGAAGAAAGCCUAAAGGGGAUUGGGGUAAUGACCUUUUAUUACCAGGCCACUCAUGACAGAAAAACAGAGACAAAAGGGCGUAUUGGAAAAUAGAUAUUACUGGUACUAAAAGUUUUUAGUAUAAUGUUAAUUAUUAAAGGGAUGAUGCAUUGAAUUGAGAAGGUCAAAUUUGAGUUAAAGUAAGCACUAAGGACUGUUAUCCUGAAUAUUGGGUUGGACAAUUUAUAAACAUUUAGUUAUGAUUUAGAUAUAGGACUGUUUAAAUCUACUAGG